ACCGGAGAAUGUUAUCACGGGAGACACACGGCGGGUGCUAACGUCCGUCGUGAAGAGGGAAACAACCCAGACCGCCAGCUAAGGUCCCAAAGUCAUGGUUAAGUGGGAAACGAUGUGGGAAGGCCCAGACAGCCAGGAUGUUGGCUUAGAAGCAGCCAUCAUUUAAAGAAAGCGUAAUAGCUCACUGGUCGAGUCGGCCUGCGCGGAAGAUGUAACGGGGCUAAACCAUGCACCGAAGCUGCGGCAGCGACACUCAGGUGUUGUUGGGUAGGGGAGCGUUCUGUAAGCCUGUGAAGGUGGCCUGUGAGGGUUGCUGGAGGUAUCAGAAGUGCGAAUGCUGACAUAAGUAACGAUAAAGCGGGUGAAAAGCCCGCUCGCCGGAAGACCAAGGGUUCCUGUCCAACGUUAAUCGGGGCAGGGUGAGUCGACCCCUAAGGCGAGGCCGAAAGGCGUAGUCGAUGGGAAACGGGUUAAUAUUCCCGUACUUGGUGUUACUGCGAAGGGGGGACGGAGAAGGCUAUGUUGGCCGGGCGACGGUUGUCCCGGUUUAAGCGUGUAGGUGUGUGUUCCAGGUAAAUCCGGUUCACUUUAACACUGAGGCGUGACGACGAGGCACUACGGUGCUGAAGCAACAAAUGCCCUGCUUCCAGGAAAAGCCUCUAAGCAUCAGGUAACAUCAAAUCGUACCCCAAACCGACACAGGUGGUCAGGUAGAGAAUACCAAGGCGCUUGAGAGAACUCGGGUGAAGGAACUAGGCAAAAUGGUGCCGUAACUUCGGGAGAAGGCACGCUGACACGUAGGUGAAGUGAUUUACUCAUGGAGCUGAAGUCAGUCGAAGAUACCAGCUGGCUGCAACUGUUUAUUAAAAACACAGCACUGUGCAAACACGAAAGUGGACGUAUACGGUGUGACGCCUGCCCGGUGCCGGAAGGUUAAUUGAUGGGGUCAGCGCAAGCGAAGCUCCUGAUCGAAGCCCCGGUAAACGGCGGCCGUAACUAUAACGGUCCUAAGGUAGCGAAAUUCCUUGUCGGGUAAGUUCCGACCUGCACGAAUGGCGUAAUGAUGGCCAGGCUGUCUCCACCCGAGACUCAGUGAAAUUGAACUCGCUGUGAAGAUGCAGUGUACCCGCGGCAAGACGGAAAGACCCCGUGAACCUUUACUAUAGCUUGACACUGAACAUUGAGCCUUGAUGUGUAGGAUAGGUGGGAGGCUUUGAAGUGUGGACGCCAGUCUGCAUGGAGCCGACCUUGAAAUACCACCCUUUAAUGUUUGAUGUUCUAACGUGGACCCGUUACCCGGGUUGCGGACAGUGUCUGGUGGGUAGUUUGACUGGGGCGGUCUCCUCCUAAAGAGUAACGGAGGAGCACGAAGGUUGGCUAAUCCUGGUCGGACAUCAGGAGGUUAGUGCAAUGGCAUAAGCCAGCUUGACUGCGAGCGUGACGGCGCGAGCAGGUGCGAAAGCAGGUCAUAGUGAUCCGGUGGUUCUGAAUGGAAGGGCCAUCGCUCAACGGAUAAAAGGUACUCCGGGGAUAACAGGCUGAUACCGCCCAAGAGUUCAUAUCGACGGCGGUGUUUGGCACCUCGAUGUCGGCUCAUCACAUCCUGGGGCUGAAGUAGGUCCCAAGGGUAUGGCUGUUCGCCAUUUAAAGUGGUACGCGAGCUGGGUUUAGAACGUCGUGAGACAGUUCGGUCCCUAUCUGCCGUGGGCGCUGGAGAACUGAGGGGGGCUGCUCCUAGUACGAGAGGACCGGAGUGGACGCAUCACUGGUGUUCGGGUUGUCAUGCCAAUGGCACUGCCCGGUAGCUAAAUGCGGAAGAGAUAAGUGCUGAAAGCAUCUAAGCACGAAACUUGCCCCGA
rnacentral:rRNA from 1 species